rnacentral:rRNA from 1 species
UAGAACGUCGUGAGACAGUUCGGUCCCUAUCUGCCGUGGGCGCUGGAGAAUUGAGGGGGGCUGCUCCUAGUACGAGAGGACCGGAGUGGACGCAUCACUGGUGUUCGGGUUGUCAUGCCAAUGGCACUGCCCGGUAGCUAAAUGCGGAAGAGAUAAGUGCUGAAAGCAUCUAAGCACGAAACUUGCCCCGAGAUGAGUUCUCCCUGAGACUUUAAGUCUCCUGAAGGAACGUUGAAGACGACGACGUUGAUAGGCCGGGUGUGUAAGCGCAGCGAUGCGUUGAGCUAACCGGUACUAAUGAACCGUGAGGCUUAACCUU